ACGUCAUGUUUUUGUUAACAUAUAAUAAAGAAAAAAGCUUAAUUUUAGAAAGAAAAAGGUCAUAUAAUAACGUCAGCAAAUUCGUGCUAAUUUAACCCUCAAAAUCACAAUAAUUAUUUUAUUUUCGGGCAGCUUUGAACUCAGCGGGCAAUUAAAACGAGUAAUUGAAGGUGUGUUAGCAGGUGUGCGGGCGGGAGCCUAGCUAAAACUCACAGGCUAGCAGGGUGCUAGUAGCCACAGUCCAGGGCACGGUUUUAAGGAUGAAUUCGCUAACAACGGAGCUAGCUAAUGUUUUUUUGGAGGACUCUGAAAAUGAUGUGACAUUUUACGGCUUUUCCGACACUGAACUGAAAGAUGAGAAUUGCAGUUUUGGAGAUGAAGAUGAAGCUCAGCCUGACAUUUUCCCCAAGGAGGAGGAAACUACAUCUAAAGCAUCUGCUACUUCUACAGUUAAGCCCUUCAGGCUGAGGGUGGCUCUGCGCUCAGCUCC